rnacentral:rRNA from 1 species
AUAAGCAUUUAUACAGUGAAACUGCGAAUGGCUCAUUAAAUCAGUUAUCGUUUAUUUGAUAGUACAUUACUACUUGGAUAACCGUGGUAAUUCUAGAGCUAAUACAUGCUAAAAGUCCUGGCCUCCGGUCAAGAUGUAUUUAUUAGAUAAAAAACCAAUGUCUUCUUGAUCCUUGGGGAAUCAUAAUAACUUGGCAUAACCCAAGGGCCUUCCCCCGGCAAGGGUCCAUCCAAUUUCCGCCCUAUCCACCUUCCAUGGGAAGAAUAAGGCCUACCAUGGUUUCAACGGGUAACGGGGAAU